rnacentral:rRNA from 1 species
UACGUAGGGUGCAAGCGUUGUCCGGAAUUAUUGGGCGUAAAGAGCUCGUAGGCGGUCUGUCACGUCGGACGUGAAAAUCCAGGGCUCAACCCUGGACCUGCGUUCGAUACGGGCAGACUAGAGUUCGGUAGGGGAGACUGGAAUUCCUGGUGUAGCGGUGAAAUGCGCAGAUAUCAGGAGGAACACCGGUGGCGAAGGCGGGUCUCUAGGCCGAUACUGACGCUGAGGAGCGAAAGCGUGGGGAGCGAACAGG